rnacentral:lncRNA from 1 species
UUAGGUUGUUUAAAUCAACGAUCCACACCGUUAAAAUUGAUCUAGGGUAUUUAAAAUUUUUAGAAAUAAAAUUUUAUAUUUUUUCGACAUAGUUUACUUUAUGAUCAAACCAUUUUAAAAUUGACAAUUUUCGAUGGCUACUAUGACGAGUUUGGAGUUUAACGGUGUAGAAGAAUCUAAAUUUCUUCAAAUUUUGAUAGAAAAUACUUUAAACUGUCUAAAUUAAGGUUAACAUUUUUUAUCUUGAAUUUAAAAGUCCUAUAGUCAAAUUUUAUAGAUUAUUCAAUUUUCACCGUCCAUUUUGACAUAAUUUAUUUACUAAGUAAACAAUGUCGAAAAAAAUUAAAAUUUUAUUCCUAAGAACUUCAUAUACCCUAAAUCAUAUUUAAUGGUGUGGAUGGUUAAUUUGAAUCCCCUAAGAUCGAAAACAAAAUUAUAGUACCGGAGCUCCGGUACUAUAAAUAGUAUAGUAGCCUAAUUNGCCUGGAAUACUAUCGAUAGCACCAAGGACUUGGUGCUAUCGAGUUUUUCACCGUUAGAUUUAGUUCUUUGAUUAUUUUAUCCGUUAGAUUAUACUAUUCAACCAAUAAUUUACUAAACCUUAGGGGACCCACAUCAUCCUAACUGUACAUUUCUUUAUCCAACAACUUGGUGCUAUUGAUAGCAUUCCAGCCUAUAUGAGCUUUUCAAGCCUAAUUCGAACGAGCCCAAUAAAACUCAAGCUUGGCUCAUUUAAUUUCAAAUCGAGCUUGAGCGAGCCGAACAUGAGCCAGCUUGCUCAUUUGCCUGCCCUA